rnacentral:tRNA from 1 species
AUUAUCUUGGCAGAAUAGUGCGUUAGAUUUAGAAUCUAUUUAUGUAAAUAUUUACAGGUAAUA